rnacentral:rRNA from 1 species
AUGGAGAGAGGCGCGAUGGGCGGCGGCGAGGGAUCGGAGGAGGCGAGGGGCAGGGAGCGGGAGUGGGAGGAGGCGGCGGAGGCGGUGGCGUACGACUCGUGCACCUGGCCGCCGCCGGUGGUGGUGGUGUGCGGCCCCGGCAACAGCGGCAAGUCCGCGUUCGCCCGCCUCCUCCUCAACACCCUCCUCGCAAGGUAUAAGAGGGUGGCAUACCUGGAUACUGAUGUUGGCCAGCCUGAGUUCACGCCUCCAGGUUUUGUAUCACUUCAUGUACUUGAGGAACAAGCUAAAGAUUUGACAAUGCUAUACCUGCGGGCCCCAAAGAGGUGCUUCUUUUUCGGUGAUGUUGCUGCACACAAGAACCCAAAACUUCUCUUGAGCUACAUUUUUGGGCUUUAUGAUUAUUUUCUUAAAGAACUCUAUCGCUUCAAUGUGGCUGAUAACCCUCACAAAUCAGCUAUACCAAUUGUUAUCAACACUUCAGGAUGGGUGAAAGGUAUUGGACUUCAUGUUCUGUCAGAGAUACUGAGAUACAUAUCCCCAACCGAUGUUAUUCGGCUAAACACCACAACAGAGGGUAAAAAUUUACCAGGUGGUGCAUUUUGGCUGGAUGCACACGAGGGAGAUUCACAGGUUAAUCUAGUUGAAAUUCACGCUGCACAGAACUCUCCUCGACAUCUGUUGGUGAAGAAAGAGGCGCGGAUGAUUCGUGACCUCAGGCUGAUUGCAUACUUCAGGCAGUGCUUGCCGAGGGACUUUCCUAUUUUCUCUUCUGAUGAUUUAGUGCAAGGCAUUGCUGCUAUAGACCCCUUUCAGCUUCCUCUUUCAAAAAUACAGGUCAUUGAUCUGCACAGCCAGAUUUCUGGUGAUUCAGUAUAUGACUUCUUGGCUGGUACUAUCGUCGGUAUUGGAUCAAGUUCAUCUGUCCCUUUGUCAACGGAAUGCUCAUCCCCUUGGUGCAUGGGACUUGGUUUCGUCAAGGCUAUUGAUAUUCCAGGAGACUGCAUUCAUCUGAUAACACCUGUUCCUCAUCAGCUUAUAGAAAAUGUUGACAUCAUUUUUCCAAGUUGUAUCGCAGUACCCGACGGCCUCUUUCAGGUGCCAAACACAGUGGAUGAUAUAACUGCCAGGCUGAGAGAUCUGUAG